AUUAUCAGAACAUGUAACCAAAUCACAGAAUCAUAGGAUAAUCAGAUUAGUACGUGGUAACUAGGUAGUGGGAUAAUCAGAUUAGUACGUGGUAACUAGGUAGUGGGAUAAUCAGAUUAGUGGUGGCUAGGUAGUGGGAUAAUCAGAUUAGUGGUGGCUAGAUAGUGGGAUAAUCAGAUUAGCGGUAACUAGGUAGUGGGAUAAUCAGAUUAGUGGUGGCUAGGUAGUGGGAUGAUCAGAUUAGUGGUGGCUAGAUAGUGGGAUAAUCAGAUUAGCGGUAACUAGGUAGUGGGAUAAUCAGAUUAGUGGUAACUGGCUACUAGGAUAAUCAGAUUAGUGGUGACUAGAUAGUGGGAUAAUCAGAUUAGUGGUGGCUAGGUAGUGGGAUAAUCAGAUUAGUGGUAACUAUAGGUAGUGGGAUAAUCAGAUUAGUGUUGGCUAGUUAGUGGGAUAAUCAGAUUAGUGGUAACUGGCUACUAGGAUAAUCAGAUUAGUGGUGACUAGAUAGUGGGAUAAUCAGAUUAGUGGUGGCUAGGUAGUGGGAUAAUCAGAUUAGUGGUAACUAUAGGUAGUGGGAUAAUCAGAUUAGUGGUGGCUAGGUAGUGGGAUAAUCAGAUUAAUGGUGGCUGGCUACUAGGAUAAUCAGAUUAGUGGUGGCUAGGUAGUGGGAUAAUCAGAUUAGUGGUAACUAGGUAGUGGGAUAAUCAGAUUAGUGGUGGCUAGGUAGUGGGAUAAUCAGAUUAGUGGUGGCUAGGUA